UGGGGAAUAUUGCACAAUGGGCGCAAGCCUGAUGCAGCCAUGCCGCGUGUGUGAAGAAGGCCUUCGGGUUGUAAAGCACUUUCAGCGGGGAGGAAGGCGUUAAGGUUAAUAACCUCGGCGAUUGACGUUACCCGCAGAAGAAGCACCGGCUAACUCCGUGCCAGCAGCCGCGGUAAUACGGAGGGUGCAAGCGUUAAUCGGAAUUACUGGGCGUAAAGCGCACGCAGGCGGUCUGUCAAGUCGGAUGUGAAAUCCCCGGGCUCAACCUGGGAACUGCAUUCGAAACUGACAGGCUAGAGUCUUGUAGAGGGGGGUAGAAUUCCAGGUGUAGCGGUGAAAUGCGUAGAGAUCUGGAGGAAUACCGGUGGCGAAGGCGGCCCCCUGGACAAAGACUGACGCUCAGGUGCGAAAGCGUGGGGAGCAAACAGG
rnacentral:rRNA from 1 species